rnacentral:lncRNA from 1 species
GUGUUGAGGAGCUUCGUGGAGGUUGGCCAGGUAACCUACAUCUUCCUUGGACCUUAGGCUGGAAAACUGGUCACAACUGUAGAUGUUAUUGAUCAGAAUGGGGCUUUGGUCGGUGGACCUUGCACUCAGGUAAGGAGACAGCCUAUGCCUUUAAAAUGCAUGCAGCUCACUGAUUUCAUCCUCAAGUUUCCACACAGUGCCCAGCAGAAUUAUGUCCCAUAAGCCUGGCAGAGGGCAGACAAUACAAAAUGGGCAGCCACAUGAUGGGCCAAGAAGAUUGAAGCCAGAGAAGGGAAAGCCAAGAUGGCAGAUUUUGAUCAUUUUAAAGUCAUGAAGGCAAAAUGAGGAACAGAAUAAUCAAGAAUGAAAUUAAGAAGCUUCAAAAGGCAGCUCUCCUGAAAGUGUCUCCCAAAAAAGCACCUGCUAUUAAGAGUGCUGCUGCUAAAGUUCCAGAAAAAAAGAUGACCACUGCGGGAAAGAAGGCUGCAACCCAGAAGUUUCCUGCCCAGAAAGCAAAAGGCCAGAAGGCAGUACCUCCUUUGGAAGCUCAGAAGGGUCAAAACACUCCAGCCCAAAAAGCACCAGCUCCAAAGGCAUCUAGCAAGAAAGC